rnacentral:rRNA from 1 species
UGGGGAAUUUUGGACAAUGGGCGAAAGCCUGAUCCAGCAAUGCCGCGUGUGUGAAGAAGGCCUUCGGGUUGUAAAGCACUUUUGUCCGGAAAGAAAUGGCUCUGGUUAAUACCUGGGGUCGAUGACGGUACCGGAAGAAUAAGGACCGGCUAACUACGUGCCAGCAGCCGCGGUAAUACGUAGGGUCCAAGCGUUAAUCGGAAUUACUGGGCGUAAAGCGUGCGCAGGCGGUUGUGCAAGACCGAUGUGAAAUCCCCGAGCUUAACUUGGGAAUUGCAUUGGUGACUGCACGGCUAGAGUGUGUCAGAGGGGGGUAGAAUUCCACGUGUAGCAGUGAAAUGCGUAGAGAUGUGGAGGAAUACCGAUGGCGAAGGCAGCCCCCUGGGAUAACACUGACGCUCAUGCACGAAAGCGUGGGGAGCAAACAGGAUUAGAUACCCUGGUAGUCCACGCCCUAAACGAUGUCAACUAGUUGUUGGGGAUUCAUUUCCUUAGUAACGUAGCUAACGCGUGAAGUUGACCGCCUGGGGAGUACGGUCGCAAGAUUAAAAGCUCAAAUGAAUUGACGGGGUC